rnacentral:rRNA from 1 species
AUUGAACGCUGGCGGCAUGCCUUACACAUGCAAGUCGAACGGCAGCGCGGGAGCAAUCCUGGCGGCGAGUGGCGAACGGGUGAGUAAUAUAUCGGAACGUGCCCAGUAGUGGGGGAUAGCCCGGCGAAAGCCGGAUUAAUACCGCAUGAGACCUGAGGGUGAAAGUGGGGGAUCGCAAGACCUCGCGCUACUGGAGCGGCCGAUAUCAGAUUAGCUAGUUGGUGGGGUAAAGGCCUACCAAGGCAACGAUCUGUAGUUGGUCUGAGAGGACGACCAGCCACACUGGGACUGAGACACGGCCCAGACUCCUACGGGAGGCAGCAGUGGGGAAUUUUGGACAAUGGGCGCAAGCCUGAUCCAGCAAUGCCGCGUGCAGGAAGAAGGCCUU